rnacentral:rRNA from 1 species
GCUCCCUGAUGUUAGCGGCGGACGGGUGAGUAACACGUGGGUAACCUGCCUGUAAGACUGGGAUAACUCCGGGAAACCGGGGCUAAUACCGGAUGGUUGUUUGAACCGCAUGGUUCAAACAUAAAAGGUGGCUUCGGCUACCACUUACAGAUGGACCCGCGGCGCAUUAGCUAGUUGGUGAGGUAACGGCUCACCAAGGCAACGAUGCGUAGCCGACCUGAGAGGGUGAUCGGCCACACUGGGACUGAGACACGGCCCAGACUCCUACGGGAGGCAGCAGUAGGGAAUCUUCCGCAAUGGACGAAAGUCUGACGGAGCAACGCCGCGUGAGUGAUGAAGGUUUUCGGAUCGUAAAGCUCUGUUGUUAGGGAAGAACAAGUACCGUUCGAAUAGGGCGGUACCUUGACGGUACCUAACCAGAAAGCCACGGCUAACUACGUGCCAGCAGCCGCGGUAAUACGUAGGUGGCAAGCGUUGUCCGGAAUUAUUGGGCGUAAAGGGCUCGCAGGCGGUUUCUUAAGUCUGAUGUGAAAGCCCCCGGCUCAACCGGGGAGGGUCAUUGGAAACUGGGGAACUUGAGUGCAGAAGAGGAGAGUGGAAUUCCACGUGUAGCGGUGAAAUGCGUAGAGAUGUGGAGGAACACCAGUGGCGAAGGCGACUCUCUGGUCUGUAACUGACGCUGAGGAGCGAAAGCGUGGGGAGCGAACAGGAUUAGAUACCCUGGUAGUCCACGCCGUAAACGAUGAGUGCUAAGUGUUAGGGGGUUUUCCGC